GACGAACGCUGGCGGCGUGCCUAAUACAUGCAAGUAGAACGCUGAAGCGAGGAGCUUGCUCUUCUUGGAUGAGUUGCGAACGGGUGAGUAACGCGUAGGUAACCUGCCUUGUAGCGGGGGAUAACUAUUGGAAACGAUAGCUAAUACCGCAUAACAAUGGAUGACACAUGUCAUUUAUUUGAAAGGGGCAAUUGCUCCACUACAAGAUGGACCUGCGUUGUAUUAGCUAGUAGGUGAGGUAAUGGCUCACCUAGGCGACGAUACAUAGCCGACCUGAGAGGGUGAUCGGCCACACUGGGACUGAGACACGGCCCAGACUACUACGGGAGGCAGCAGUAGGGAAUCUUCGGCAAUGGGGGCAAGCCUGACCGAGCAACGCCGCGUGAGUGAAGAAGGUUUUCGGAUCGUAAAGCUCUGUUGUAAGUCAAGAACGGGUGUGAGAGUGGAAAGUUCACACUGUGACGGUAGCUUACCAGAAAGGGACGGCUAACUACGUG
rnacentral:rRNA from 1 species